GCCCCUAUGGUGUAAUGGUAACACGUGAGUCUCAUAAUCUCUAGCCCUCAGUUCGAUUCUGAGUGGGGGCA
rfam:Trichosporon oleaginosus strain IBC0246 unplaced genomic scaffold CC85scaffold_37, whole genome shotgun sequence.